UACAGAGGGUGCAAGCGUUGUUCGGAUUUACUGGGCGUAAAGCGUACGCAGACGGCUUGGUAGGUCGGAUGUGAAAGCCCCGGGCUCAACCCGGGAAUUGCAUCCGAAACCACCUCGCUCGAGUGUGGGAGAGGGAAGCGGAAUUCCUGGUGUAGAGGUGAAAUUCGUAGAUAUCAGGAGGAACACCGGCGGCGAAGGCGGCUUCCUGGCCCAUUACUGACGUUCAGGUACGAAAGCGUGGGGAGCAAAC
rnacentral:rRNA from 1 species